AUGGUUCUUUCCUUUCGCAUAUGCCAUGAUAUUAUCUUUAUAGCUUGCUGGACAUCUUUUCCGACCAAACAGCUUUUUUGGUUCACUUCUUAUGUAUUCUCAGAAGCUGUGAAGAUUGAAGAUAUGGAGGAUGAUAUUCUAUCAAGAAUAGAAAUUUAGAAUCAUGGAAUUAAAGUCUGAGUAGUAUGCCAGUUUUCAUGGAAGUUCAUCAAGGAAUGAUGAACAUUGGAGGGACCUCACACUGGAUCAGGGAAGGAGUGUGAGGAAUUCCCCCGAGGAGGAAGGAGCGGCAAAGACAACUUGUGAUGAACUCACCACAGUCCCAUCUCCUGUCCCACCUAACUACUUGGGGGGAGGAGAAAGAGAUUUGGGGUUAAAGUUAAGCCCAGGAAAAGGGGGUGCUUAGGUGGAAAGUGUUUAAAAAUUUGUUUUUCUUUCUCGUUAUUCUGUUCUGAUUUGUUUGGUAAUAAAUUAAACUAAUUAAUUUACCCA
rnacentral:lncRNA from 1 species